CCUGGGUCUGUGGGGUCCUUUAAAAUUCCUGAAAUGGUCAGUAGCAGCUGAACAGCAUCCAGCCCUCAGGUUUGACUCCCAGCUCCACGGAUACCUCCUUUUUUUUUUUUUUAAUAAUUUUUUAAUAAAGAUUUUAUUUAUACAAGAACUGGGGUACAGGUCAGAGGUGCCGGAGUGUGAGAGAAUUCACCAGAGACAGCGGGGAGCAGAACAGGCAGACAGACCGAAGAUGCUGCUGAGGCGAGCAGUGGGAGAGGCAGGAGAGGUCUGCUGCGCCAUAUGGGAAUCUCUGGCCGGCCGGAAAUCAAACCCGCGCUGCAGAGCUGCAGACAGCUUCACAGUGCUGCGCUCAACCCGCUGCACCACUGGGGAGGCCCUGAUACCUUCUUUUAAACUUCUCAAUUUUAAUAAUCCCUUGUCUUUGCUCCCCUACCCUGAGAGUGGCAGUUGCUGCCUUUAGUUACCUCUGUGACAUCUCAGUGUCUCCUUUACUCUGUCACCUCUUCACUGUAUGGUUAACAGUUUAUGUAUCAAUCAUUGUUGGUGUGGUUUCUGUUUUCGGACACAAUGGGCAACUACAUUCGCAGCUUCUAAGCAGAGGAGAGUGAGACCCACAUCCUCUUCCUGGGAACCUCAGGCUCAGAUUAAUUUUCCACUGGCGGGCAUCAAUAUAACAUAUGGAUGGAUGGCUCCAUAUUAUGAUGAUUAGAUUAUGUGAUUCAUCCCACAUGGAGACAAAUCUGGUGCAUCAAGGAAGCUGAUGACGUUGUAGGCAUAUGGGCCCUCUGGGAGCUGAUAUUUUUUUCAACCCUGCUCUGCCUGCUAGCUAGUAGACAUGGUGUGAUAUUGAUCACUAGUCUUCCUGUCAAUAAGGAGCUAUGAACUGAUGAUACUCUACAGUGCUCAGCAUAUGGAAGACUCUUGUAGAUGGAAAAAACUCCACCUAAAGGGGACAUAAACUUUGAAUGUCUGUGAAGGAGGAGAAUGGAGGUAACACUUAAGCAGUGGUUCUCAAGGGUGCCUACAUAAUUGUAUCACUUGGGAACUCUGAAAAAUCCUGCCUGACCCUCACCAUGAAAAGGUCACCAGGAUCAUGUAUUUAUUAUACUCUUCCUAAUCAAUGAGGAAUGUUGAAGAUCAUUCUAGGGUCUGGAAGAGGAGGAUUAAAGGUCUGAAAGGGAAACUCACCCAGUCUGCCAGUGGAUUUACAUCUUGAGGCAUUAAAAGAUUCAGGAUAAAAUGAAGCCGUCAUAGAAAGACACAUGAGGAGUACUCAGUGAAGAUCAUCCCCAAGAGUAAGAAGUUGUCCUGGCCGUGGCAUUCUUUUCUGCUUCCCUUCCUCCUCUGUUUCCAUUAGGAAAGCUCCUUCCCUGCCACUGUCUCCAGGUGCCCACGGGGUUGGACAGUGGGACAUAAUGUGUUUCUGGGCUAAUAUAAGCUCACUGCUGCUAGUUCUGUUUUUAUUCUACUCAUUGGUUCAGGUCUGACUCUGCUUCACUGGUUAUUUAGGGCCAGCAAUGCCAGAUUCUAUAAAUUUAUCAAAUUUUGGUCCAUGCAAGGAAGGGGCCUGAAGGCCUGGUAGACUCACCUCGUGGAAUGAACGUAGUGGGGACUCCGGACCCGCAGGUCUGGUGUGGACGGCAUGCUGGACUGGGAGUUCCAGUGGGGGAGGCCACGGAUGGGACUGUUCUGCAGGGAGCUGCUUCCCCCUCCUGCUUCGGCACAGCUGCCCGUGCUGGGGAAACGCUUGUGGCUACUGUAAACCAGAGGAGGCCAUGCUGGUCACUGCCAGACAGAACUCCAGCCUUUCCAGGUAGCUAACCAGCCUGGGGCUGACAGUGUCGGUGUUGGGAAACUUGUCCAGAACUGCCUGGGCUGUGCUCCCUCAGAGCUCUCCUCUGAUUCUCAGCCUUUCCUCCAGAAGUGGGAGGAGGGUCCUAGUCCUUGAGAUAAUGAAGAGCCUCUCGGGGACAGGCAGUGUGGCUAUUCUGUGAGGCCCCUCCCCUCAAACCUGACUUCUGGUUUCUUCUUUUUUUUUUUUUUCUCAUCUUCUAACCCAAAUCCUAAACCCUAACCCUAACCCUGGCUUUUGCUUUCUAAGAGAAAAUAAUUUACCUGUCUAGGGCACCAACUCAAAGGAAAUGAGAAAAACAGAGACACCGGCUAAAAAACCCCUCUCCAUAAUACCAGCUGAGAAAUGAGCUGAUAAUGCACAGCUGUUUGGCUCUAGAAUUCUGUUGGAUGAUGGCUUAGGCUUCUGAGCCACUGUGGGAUUCCUGCAAGUGGACGCUCAGCUGUCACUUCAGAAUAGUGCUGCCUAAAAUGUCCUAAUUAAUUCCUGUGGAAUUUAACAUUAAUACCAUCUGCCAACAGUUGAGCCAAAGCCCAAAUUCCCUUGGAAUGACAAACCUGCACCUUAACAGCAGAGGGCGCGCUAUGAGCACAGCACUGUUGAAGGGCCGGCCCAGGAAGGCGUUGGGUUGAUGGGGUUUUGGACUGUGUGGGAGCCACCCGGACAGCCCUUCCAUUCUCGCAAAGCACCGAGACCUCAUUCGCCCUCCUCUGCCCAGCUCACCUGGAAUGACUGUGGGAGGAACGUUUCUUGACCUUCUCAUAAGGCUCAUCUAAGGAGGACUCGCUCCACAUUUUGGGCUUUAUAGGUGACUUGUCAUAGUCGUUGCGGUGAUAGUGCAUCUGUCUGAGUCCCUCCAGCGACUGGGGCGGAGGGGGCCUGUUGUGCGAUGGUGGCCGAGGAGGGAGUCCUUUGUGUGGAGACUGUAAGGGGGACAGUGUGCUGGUGACCUGAGAGUCUUCUGCACAGAGACGGAAAGAGAGGAACUGAGCAAGGGUCAUCUUCCCCACUGAGACAGACUCCCCUGCUCCCCCCAAACCCGAACUCCACCUCUGCCUCUCCUCCAGGCAAAUCACUGUGUGGAGGAACCUCUGGCUUCAUCAGCUACCAAGACACGUCAAUCCAGAACAAGCCAAGCCUAAACUCUGAGCAGCAUUAAAUGGGAAGAAAAGUUUCGCUUCUGUUAGCUACAAAUGGAGGGAGGCCUGAACUUCAUUAAAUAACAUUGGCUAAUAAAUGCUUCACACCAAACAGCAAAAUGUAGUCAUUUUUAUACUGUUAUGUUUUCUUUCAGUACACAGCAAGCACCUAACAUGAUUUAGGAGAGUUUCAGCUCCAUAGGGUUUUGCUGACUGUUACAUCCCAGGUGUCUGGAAUGACUGUUGACACCGAGUAGGUGUUUAAUAUUUGUUGGAAACAAUCAAAGUACAUCUGUCAAGUGUAAUUACCUGCUGUGGGUGCUAGGCAUCCAUCUACUCUGUUUUAGGACGAUCUAAAUUGUGUUUUAAGUGGUCCGGUGUGAUGCUUUCAUUUUGGAACUACCUUAGAUUCUUUGGAAAGUGAUGGGUUACGAAUAUUAAAU